UACAGAGGGUGCGAGCGUUAAUCGGAAUUACUGGGCGUAAAGCGUGCGUAGACGGCUAUCUAAGUCGGGUGUGAAAGCCCCGGGCUCAACCUGGGAAUUGCAUUCGAGACUGAAUAGCUAGGGUGCGGUAGAGGGAAGCGGAAUUCCAGGUGUAGCGGUGAAAUGCGUAGAUAUCUGGAGGAACACCGGUGGCGAAGGCGGCAUCCUGGACCGGUAUUGACGCUGAGGAGCGAAAGCGUGGGGAGCAAACAGG
rnacentral:rRNA from 1 species